UUCAUGGAGAGUUUGAUCCUGGCUCAGGACGAACGCUGGCGGCGUGCCUAAUACAUGCAAGUCGAGCGGACAGAUGGGAGCUUGCUCCCUGAUGUCAGCGGCGGACGGGUGAGUAACACGUGGGUAACCUGCCUGUAAGACUGGGAUAACUCCGGGAAACCGGGGCUAAUACCGGAUGCUUGAUUGAACCGCAUGGUUCAAUUAUAAAAGGUGGCUUCGGCUACCACUUACAGAUGGACCCGCGGCGCAUUAGCUAGUUGGUGAGGUAACGGCUCACCAAGGCGACGAUGCGUAGCCGACCUGAGAGGGUGAUCGGCCACACUGGGACUGAGACACGGCCCAGACUCCUACGGGAGGCAGC
rnacentral:rRNA from 1 species